rnacentral:rRNA from 1 species
GACGAACGCUGGCGGCGUGCCUAAUACAUGCAAGUAGAACGCUGAAGGAGGAGCUUUCUUCUCUGGAUGAGUUGCGAACGGGUGAGUAACGCGUAGGUAACCUGCCUGGUAGCGGGGGAUAACUAUUGGAAACGAUAGCUAAUACCGCAUAAUAGCAUUUAUUGCAUGAUAACUGUUUGAAAGGUGCCAUUGCACCACUACCAUAUGCACCUGCGUUGUAUUAGCUAGUUGGUGGGGUAACGGCCAACCAAGGCGACGAUACAUAGCCGGCCUGAGAGGGUGGUCGGCCACACUGGGACUGAGACACGGCCCAGACUCCUACGGGAGGCAGCAGUAGGGAAUAUUCGGCAAUGGACGGAAGUCUGACCGAGCAACGCCGCGUGAGUGAAGAAGGUUUUCGGAUCGUAAAGCUAUGUUGUAAGAGAAGAACGAGUGUAAGAGUGGAAAGUUCACACUGUGACGGUAUCUUACCAGAAAGGGACGGCUAACUACGUG